GCAAGUCUUGGGCCUGAGCCCAAAGCUGGUGUGGAGUUUGAACCCUUGGCAUUCUGGCCGAGGGCCAAGUGCUAUCAAUGGAACCCCACUGACACCUUUAGUUAUUCUUCCUAGAUUAGGAUAGUAAUUUACUUGUCUCUUUGAUUUCGAGUGUCUGGUUUUGUUUCCAGAUGCCUCCCAGCUCAUCUGUAUUCCAGGGGUUUCAAAAGACUUUAACCUCAUUGGAAUAAAUAAAAGGCAUAUUCACUUUCAGAAUAUCAGCUAUUAUACCAGAGCAAGUCAGGAUGGAGUAUAAGAGGUGAUGCAUAGGACAAUGUAGUGAAAAAUGUCAUUAGAUAGAUUCAUGCAUAAAAGCCCUCCAACUAGCAGUGAUCUCAAACUCCCCCAAACGAUCGCAAUAUAUGAAAGAGAUGGAGAGACCAUAGAAAUUUUAUCCCAAUGCCAAUAAGGUAACAGCAUUUGGAUUUUAACAUGCUAUGGUAGGAAAAGGCAUUUAUGCAGGGGUGUCAUUUCAUGUUUACAAGGGCCUGUCUAGAACUGUUUAUUGAUUUUACUGCAGUUCUUUCCCCAGGACCCUGUAGAUAGAUAAUUGCUAGAAAUGUCCAUCAUUAACAGAGCAACGGGUGCAACCAUCACACUAGGAAAAAGAUACACAUAGGACCGUGUUAGCAGGCGUCAAAUGGGGCCGGGGGUGGGGGAGUGGCGGGGGAAGAGUCACACAAUAACACGUGCAGCCAUAACUCCAGGAAAACACACACACACAACACCCUGUGUAGCCAUUGCACUGAGAAAAUACACACAGCCCCCUGUGCAGCCAUCACACAUCAGGAAAAUACACACAUGACACCCCUGUGCAACCAUCACACCAGGCAAAAGCACAGACAUAAAAUGCUAAGUCAAUAGGAAUGAACAGCUCAUAAAAGCCUACUGGAAUAGAUCACAUCACAGCCAGGUACAUCUGUUCUCAGUACUAACCAUUAUCGUUAGCUUAAAAUGCUUAAAAUCACUGCGCAUCCUCAGGUCUAGGGACAGAUUAUUCCAAGAAGAUUCUGCUAAAUAGAUUUGGCAAUGCAGUGAAAGGGACCUCUACUACAUUAAAGUGAGGCAUUUUGCAUCUCAAAGGCCGUCAACUAUAUUUAGAGGAACUGUGUGAUUGAAGAACAAUGCUCCAGGAUGGGAGAGCAAUUUUUCUGGCCCUUCUAAAUCUGGGGGUAAUUCUGACCCCAACUUGAGUUAAGUGUACAACUGAAUGAGCAGCUAUCAGAUUGGGAGGUAACUAAUAAAAGCAGAACUGGAAACAGCUUUCAUCUGUGCUACAAAGUCAGCUACUCCAUCCUGUUUGAAAUUAGAACUCUCAGGUGGGAUGUCAUAUCUACAGGUCUUAGUAAGGUCAGACUUCAAGCCAUCAACUUGAGAUAAAUAAGUAGUAACUACAAUCCUUGCUUCAUAGGGUUGUCUGCCCAACUGGGGGGAAUAAAGGAACCACCCACCUCUCCUUUUGCCAGUGCCUUCUCUUUAUCCUCUCGCCUUGGUCUGUGAUGUUAUCCUAACUGUGUGACAUGGGGUCAUGGCACCAUGAGGGAUACGGCAUGUCCUUCUGAAGAGUGGCCCAAAAAAAUAGUUAGAAAGAGUUUCAAGCUUGCAGUUCCAUGUUUCAGUUACAGUUAUGUGUUUCUACUCGGUGAGACACGUUUCAAGCUAGCUUGUUAAGAAUGAUUUACACCAUAAUUCUAGGAAAAAAACAAAUCUGAGUGACUGAGAUUUGAAAGGGAAGAGUAGGGGGGAAGUGCCAGACUAAACGAAUCCUAAGUAAAUAGGGUGGGGUUGGGUCUUUUUUUUUAGUGUUUUUUGUUUGUUUGGUUUUUGCUUUUUUUUUUUUUUUUAAACAAAAAAGAAAAUGUAGAUAUUGUUGGUGAGUACGUCUCUCACCUGGGUGAAAUAAAGCAAAAGAAGACAGAAUCGCUCCAUUUGCUCCAUGUGAAAGCAAAUUUUCAGGAGAGGACAGGUGUUUCUCUUAAAUUUGUAAGAUAGCUUCUUACUGGGAAUGAGCGAUGCUGGAGAUAAGAACUAAGAAUUCCACAUUUUUUCCAAAUGUGGCAGAAAAGGUUUUGUUAGGGUGAGAUAAGCAUAUUCCAUAAAACAAUGCACUAGUGACAUGAGGUAAUUACAUGGUGACUAGGACACACUGCGUGGCAUACUGGAGAAAUGGUGUGAUACCUACCUGAUAGCUGUAGUAACUCUCGUUAUCACUGCCUUAUUAUCUCCUGAUAACUAUAUAAUUAGUUUGUGUCACCAAAGCACCCUAAACGUAUGCCUGUUCCAGCUACCCUGGUAGAAAAAAAAAAAAUAAACUUUUUUGCAAGGGGGAAAAAAAGCUAAUGAAGAAAGUUGCCAAGAACAGAUAUUUUGUAAUCUGUGCUAAAUCUCUGCUGGAAAACAUGAACAGUAACGAAGCUGAGAAGACAGUAAAAGAAAUUCGGGGCAAGGUGCCAGACGCCCAGACGGAAGGAGAAUGUGGACCAAAAGAUUGCGACAAUCGGGUAAUUAUGGUUUAUGAAUUUCAGCUUUAAUCUGUAGUUCAGUGAGUCCUGAUUAAAUAUCUGUUAAACACAAUUAAAGUUUGUUUUUGUAUUUCACCGUCUUGAUCAGAAUAAUUAGAGACUGCGUGUUUCAUGUCAAAAGUAGCAAGAGGAAUUUUAGUGAAUGAACAUCGUUUUUAAAAGCCAUUUGUAGCACCAGCUGUUGGCAUUAUUUUAUAUUUUAGUGUUAUCAGCAUAAAGAUGGUCCUCUGGAUGCUGAGUAGUUUCUAACAGGACAAGGAUGUUAUGCUGUCAUGAUGGGCCUGUGCUGAUGAGGCUUAAAUGUUUAAGGGCUAAUGUUCACUGAGAUAGUGGACAGGAAGACGCAGGGCAGGGAGGCACGUGUUUUAGGGGAGAGAAGAAGGAGCACAUUUGAGUUAAGUUUAUCCAUGCAAGGAUCUGAGGGAGGAGAUGGUUCAUCGUAUAGUCAUUUGUGUUAACACCUGCAAAUGCUGGUUACCUUAUUCAGACAGGUUGUAUAUAGUGCUGAGGGGUAGGCACAAGAAAAGUGUGGGAAGUGCCGGAAUCUGUCCUGUUUGGUUUUUGGCCAAAAAUAUGUGUCUUUUGGGAGUUCCCGUCGUGGUUCAGUGGUUAACAAACCCGACUAGGAGCCAUGAGGUUGCGGGUUCGAUCCCUGGCCUUGCUCAGUGGGUUAAGGAUCUGGCGUUGCCCUGAGCUGUGGUGUAGGUUGCAGACGUGGUUUGGAUCUCACAUUGCUGUGGCUCUGGUGUAGCCAGUGGCUACAGCUCCAAUUGGACCCCUAGCCUGGGAACCUCCAUAUGCCACAGGAGCGGCCCUAGAAAAGGCAAAAAGACAAAAAAAAAAAAGAUAGCAGUAUGAAUUCUGCAGAAAGAACAGGUGGGAAUGUAAGUAGGAUCAACUGAGACUGGGUAAAGACGUAAAGUAAGAUUCAACAAACCAAAUCUAAGACUGUGAUUUUUGUACACAUGUGCCAAAAGUGAGACUAGAGAGUUGUAAGUUAUUAUCUCUCUAAAAACUAUAAGAGGAUGUAUGUAAAUUUUUCUAUGCAGCUUUAAAGAAAUAAUAUGAUACUUUCUUGCUUGCUAUUUGAAAUUUGAAAACCUGGUUAUUUUGGACCCGGUGAUAGACAGAGGAAUGCCCCCCUCCCCCAAAGGGGUCCACAUCCUAAUCCUCAGAACCUAUGACUACAUUGCCUUACAUGGCAAAAGAGACCUUGUAAACGUGAGCAAAUUAGGUUCUUGACAAGGAGAGAUAACCCUGAAUUAUCUGGGUAGUCCUAAUGUAAUCUCAAGGAUUUUUGUAAAGGAAAGAAGGGGGUGGGAGAGUCAGGGUCAGAAAAGGAGAUGUGACAAAGGAAGCGGAAUUGAGAGAGAGAGAUUGAUUUAGAGAUGUUAGACCGCUGGAUCUGAAGACAGGAAGGAACCAGGUGCCAAGGAAUACAGGUUGCCUCUAGAAGCUGGAACAGAAAAGGAGAGGGGUCCUCUAAUAGAAUCUCUAGAGAUGCAGCCUUGAUUUAGGGAUUUCUGACCUCCAGAAGUAUGUUUAAGCCAUUAAGUUUGUGGCAGUUUUGUUACAGCAGCUAUAAGAAAUCAAUACAUUCCCUAUGAACUUGCUCCAUGGAUUUGAUACCCAUUUAAAAAUUGUCCAAGAGUUCCUGCUAUGGCACAGUGGGUAAAGAAUCCAACUGUAGCCACUCUGGUCAGUGUGGAGGUGCCCAAGCACAGUGUGUUAAAGGAUUCAGCAUUGCCACAGCUCUGGUGUAGGUCACAGCUGCGGCUCAGAUUCAACCCCUGGCCUGGGAAUUUACAUAUGCUAAAGGUGCCGCCAUUAAAAAGUUAAUUAAUUUAAAAAUAAAAAUUGUCCAGUUAAAAGUGUCUGGGUAUGAGAAAAAUAAGCUUCUAUGAAUUUAAUGUUCUAAGACCCAUUCUCCAGGCUGUCUCUAUAGAAUAAUUUUGUGAUGCCCAGUUUGGUAAGAAUUAGGAAAACCUAUGUAUUACAAACUAAAAUCAUGGGCAUAUUCAGCCCCAUCCCCCAGCACCAUUUACUAGCAGUACAAUCCAAAUGAAUAGAAAUGUUUACCAGAAGGGAGAAUUAAAAGGUGAGAAUAAUUUAUCUAAUAAUAAUAGCAGUUAACAUUUGAACCACUUGUUGAACCAUUUCACUUUGCCAAUAUUCAACCAUUUUGACUUACAGAAAUGGCAAUUUCAUGUGGUUCAACAGACCCAGUGUUAUUUCAUUUGAACCUUCUAGAACUUAGAUUAAACUCUCCCUAAGAAUUUAUAAUUAAUAACUAUCAGUUAUAGAAUAUAUAGAAUUUAGGCUAAUAAAAUGCUUAUAUCUAACAUAUUCAGGUAAAAAUGAGAUCUAGUCCCAGCUAUUUAAAGGUAUUUUAGUAGAGUUGAGGAUGCAGGCAUGUAUCACACAUACUAUUCUAAAAAGUGACAGUCUAAGAUUCAUGGGAAAGCUGUAGGGCAAAGUCAGCUUUACCCUAAUAGAGACAAUGACUGGGGAGGGGGGGACUACAAACAAAACUUCACAUAAAGACAAUGACUGAAAAUUGAUAACCUAGCAUCUUUGUAUUCAAAAGAGCAUAUACUACCACAGAAGAAGAUGGGAGAGCCUAGCUCUUUAGAAUGGAAUUGCUUGAAAUGAUUCUGAGCAGCCUCAGGUUAAUGGCCUCCAUUGACAUUCUGAUGAAAGCUGUGGGCCCUCUCCUCAAAAAAGGACAUAAUAACUUUUCAGAGGGUUCACAGGACCCCUAAAGCCUGAUUAGUGGUGCACUCAGACUAGUUGCCCCUGGUUUACAAUUGUGUCUUAAGUAAAACACUGUAGGGCUAACUCGUCCAACAAUGAUUUGGGACCAGAAUUGUGAAAUCAUUAUUUGUCACAUGAUUUUAAAGCAGCCAUUAAUAUACAUUGAGGCCUAGUCUUUUAAUUAGUACCACUAGUAGUUUUGACGCUAAUGAGCUAGGUAAGUACAUUUUUAUUUUUGAAGCAUUUGACGUGCAUUUAAAGAACUGCUGGGAUGAAAAGCAUGUAUAUCACCCUUGUUUACUCAUCAUUCUGUUAUUGUUUGGUCAUUCUUUGAUUCAUUCAUUCUGCAAAUAUGUGUUGGGCUCUGAGAAUAUCACAAUGAGCAGGACUCAACAUGGUCUUCUUUCCUCUUGGAACAGUCUUGUUAAAGGAGAUAGUUAAUAAAUCUGUAAACUUACUCUUGUUGCCAGAAUCCAGGUUCUUAUUCAUGGAGUCGAAGAAUGAACCUUGCAAACACACACAUGGGCAGCAAGCAAGCAAAGGACUUUGUUAUAGAAAAGCAAAGAGCUCUGGGCAUGAACACUGAGAGGGGAAAGAGGAAUUCCCCCUUCCUGUUGUUCUAUGGAGGUUUUUUAUUUUUCAAGGAUGGGGGUACCAAUGUGGGGUCCAGACAUCAUUCCUUUUUCCCAUUGGCCUUGUCUAGCCACCUGUAUCAGGCCUUAUCCAAUAGGGGUCUUAGUGAUGGUAUGCCCCAUAAAUUUUAUGGCUACUUUGUUCUUCUUCCCCCGAGACUGGGAGUCACCAUUCCUCUCCUUUCUUCCCUAUCAGUCCAAGGGGUGGGUUAGAGAUUAACAUCCACCUAGACGUAAAGCAAAUGUACUUUCUAUAGAAAACAGGAUCUGAGAAUGUUUGUUAUUUCCUGGAACCUCCCAAAUCAUAGAUAUUAAUCAACAACUAUAUCAAAGAAUACAUCAAGGGAGUUCCCGUUGUGGCACAGCAAACAAAUCCGACUAGUAACCAUGAGGUUGCAGGUUUGAUCCCUGGCCUCAAUCAGUGGGUUAAAGACCUGGCAUUCCCCGUGAGCUGUGGGGUUGCAGACACAGCUCGGAUCUGGCAUUGCUAUGGCUGUGGUGUAGGCCACCAGUUAUAAGUCCAAUUAGUUCCCUAGCCUGGGAACCUCCAUAUGCCACUAGUGCAGCCCUAAAAAG
rnacentral:lncRNA from 1 species